rnacentral:rRNA from 1 species
CAGUCGCCACGGGAAUACGGAGGGAGCUAGCGUUGUUCGGAAUCACUGGGCGUAAAGCGCACGUAGGCGGCUAUUCAAGUCAGGGGUGAAAGCCCGGGGCUCAACCCCGGAACUGCCUUUGAAACUAGAUAGCUUGAAUCUUGGAGAGGCGAGUGGAAUUCCGAGUGUAGAGGUGAAAUUCGUAGAUAUUCGGAAGAACACCAGUGGCGAAGGCGACUCGCUGGACAAGUAUUGACGCUGAGGUGCGAAAGCGUGGGGAGCAAGCAGGAUUAGAUACCCCAGUAGUCCCUGUCUCUUAUAC